rnacentral:rRNA from 1 species
GACGAACCGUCCAAACGUUAUUCGGAAUUACUGGGCUUAAAGGGUGCGCAGGCGGCCUGACAAGUUGGGUGUGAAAUACCUCGGCUCAACCGGGGAACAGCGCUCAAAACUGUCGGGCUAGAGGGAGAUAGAGGUGAGCGGAACUUAAGGUGGAGCGGUGAAAUGCGUUGAUAUCUUAAGGAACACCCGUGGCGAAAGCGGCUCACUGGAUCUCUUCUGACGCUCAGGCACGAAAGCUAGGGGAGCGAACGGG